AUGGUUUCGUUUGGAUAUGACGAGGACGACGCCAUGUCUACGAAUGCCUCCGACCCGGGAGCGUGGUCCGAGGCCCCGUCUGAAGCCGCCCCCGCCUCGCUGGAUACGGAGCUUAUGGCGAUCCUCACGGAGGCGGUGGCAGACAUGGAAUUGGAGUGGACAGCCCCCAAGGAGUUGCCGUCUAAGAGAUGGAUGGACGGUUCCUUCCUCGGCGCGGGCCGUCAGGCUGAUGCCCCGCAGAGACCCACGCCCUUUUUCUCUGAGGUCCACGAGGAACUCACUCGGUCAUGGCGCUCCCCUUACUCAGCCCGAGCCCAUGCACAGGGGACCCAGCUGCUGACGACGGUGGAAGGGGCGGAGAAAUUAGGGUACGCGCGACCGCCUCCCGUCGAGGAUGCUAUCGCGGCCCACCUGGCGUCUUCUCCUGGCUGGAAGACCGCCUCUUUGCCUUCUAAGCCAUGUCGAGCUACUGCUCACAUCGCCGAGAAGGCAUACAUUUCGGCUGGACAUGCAGCAUCUGCCCUCCACACGAUGGCAAUCCUGCAGGUCUUCCAAACUCGGCUUCUGGGGUCCCUGGACGAGGAAAGCCCGGACCCAGAGUCGCUCAGGAAGCUGCGCACGGCGGCGGAUCUCGCUCUCGCGGCGUCGAAGAAGGUCGCACAGGGAAUCGGCCGCAAUAUGAGCAGCCUUGUGGUCCUGCAUCGCCAUCUGUGGCUGACGCUGUCCGGCAUGCGCGAUGCCGAAAAGAGGCAGUUCCUGGAUGCGCCGGUGAGCCCCACCGGUCUUUUUGGUGUUGCGGUGGAGUCUCUGUCGGAGAAAUACGCCGAAACCGUCAAGCAGUCUAAGAUGAUGCCUCAUCUCCUGCCGAAACGGUCUCAAGCCCCCCCUGCAGCGAGGUCCAGGUCCUCUUCAGCGCAGCGUCCGGCGGGAUAUACCAGGCGCGCGUUCCCGAGCGCGGUAGAGCGUCGUGAGCCAGAGCCACCGUUCCGCCAGAGGCAGUCCAGGAAGCCCCGUUUUGGUGCAAAACCGGCCUCUAGCAGCCAAGGGCGCCCGGCGGGCAAGAAGGAGCAGCGUUCCUGA
rnacentral:lncRNA from 1 species